AAAAGCUCGUAGUUGGAUCUCAGCUCGCGACAGACGGUCCGCCUACCGGUGGUUACUGUUUGUUCGCAGCAUUUUCGCUAGUUAUUCCAGAUGAUCUUCAUCGGUUGUCUAGAGUGACUGGCAAGUUUACUUUGAAAAAAUUAGAGUGCUCAAAGCAGACGUGACGUCUGAAUAAUUGUGCAUGGAAUAAUGGAAUAGGACCUCGGUUCUAUUUUGUUGGUUUUCGGAACACGAGGUAAUGAUUAAGAGGGACAGACGGGGGCAUUCGUAUUGCGACGCUAGAGGUGAAAUUCUUGGACCGUCGCAAGACGAACUACUGCGAAAGCAUUUGCCAAGAAUGUUUCCAUUAAUCAAGAACGAAAGUUAGAGGUUCGAAGGCGAUCAGAUACCGCCCUAGUUCUAACCAUAAACGAUGCCAGCCAGCGAUCCGGCUGUGUUCCUCAAAUGACACGCCGGGCAGCUUCCGGGAAACCAAAGCUUUUGGGUUCCGGGGGAAGUAUGGUUGCAAAGCUGAAACUUAAAGGAAUUGACGGAAGGGCACCACCAGCAAUGGAGCCUGCGGCUCAAUUUGACUCAACACGGGAAAACUUACCUGGCCCGGACAUAGGAAGGAUUGACAGAUUAAGAGCUCUUUCUUGAUUCUAUGGGUGGUGGUGCAUGGUCGUUCUUAGUUGGUGGGGUGACUUGUCUGGUUUAUUCCGAUAACGAACGAGACUCUAGCCUACUAAAUAGACGUUCCGAUCCUCUACGUCGGACGUUCUUCUUAGAGGGACAAGCGGCGUUUAGCCGCACGAGACAGAGCAAUAACAGAUCUGGGAUGCCCUUAGAUGUCCGGGGCCGCACGCGCGCUACAAUGAAGGAAUCAGCGUGUGCUCUCCCUAUCCGACAGGAUUGGGUAACCCGUUGAAACUCCUUCGUGCUGGGGAUUGGCCAUUGUAACUGGGCCAUGAACGAGGAAUUCCCAGUAAGCACGAGUCAUCAGCUCGUGUUGAUUACGUCCCUGCCCUUUGUGCACACCGCCCGUCGCUACUACCGAUUGAAUGAUUUAGUGAGGUCUUCGGACUGGCGCUCGGAUUGGCCUUCGUGGUCGAGCCGAAGUGCCGGAAAGAUGACCAAACUUGAUCAUUUAGAGGAAGUAAAAGUCGUAACAAGGGUUUC
rnacentral:rRNA from 1 species